GCCUUGUACACACCGCCCGUCACACCACGAGAGUUUGUAAUACCCAAAGCCGGUGAGCUAACCUUUAUGGAGGCAGCCGUCUAAGGUAGGAUAGAUGAUUGGGGUGAAGUCGUAACAAGGUAGCCGUAUCGGAAGGUGCGGCUGGAUCACCUCCUUU
rnacentral:rRNA from 1 species